rfam:Myotis lucifugus cont2.58536, whole genome shotgun sequence.
GGUGGUUCUCAGGUGACACACCAAGGAAUCGGGCUCCCUCCUCUCUGGUUCCCAGUGUGUCACCUGAGAACCGCA